rnacentral:rRNA from 1 species
GACGAACGCUGGCGGCGUGCUUAACACAUGCAAGUCGAACGGAAAGGCCCUGCUUUCGUGGGGUGCUCGAGUGGCGAACGGGUGAGUAACAUGUGAGUAACCUGCCCUUGAUUUUGGGAUAACUUCAGGAAACUGGGGCUAAUACCGGAUAGGAGCUCCUGCUGCAUGGUGGGGGUUGGAAAGUUUCGGCGGGUGGGGAUGGACUCGCGGCUUAUCAGCUUGUUGGUGGGGUAGUGGCUUACCAAGGCUUUGACGGGUAGCCGGCCUGAGAGGGUGACCGGCCACAUUGGGACUAAGGUACGGCCCAGCCUCCUACGGGGGGCAGCGGUGGGAAAUAUUGCACAAUGGGCGGAAGCCGGAGGCAGCAACGCCGGGUGCGGGAUGACGGCCUUCGGGUUGUAAACCGCUUUCGCCUGUGACGAAGCUUGUGUGACGGUAAUGAGUAAAGAAGCACCGGCUAACUACGUG